GGAGUCUAGCAUGUGCGCGAGUCAUUGGGACACGUUGCUAAACCUAAAGGCGUAAUGAAAGUGAAGGCGCGCCUUGCGCGCGCCGAGGGAGGAUGGGCGAGGCGUUCGCGCGCCGUCGCCCCGCACUCCCGGGGCGUCUCGUUCUCAUCGCGAGAAGAGGCGCACCCAGAGCGUACACGCUGGGACCCGAAAGAUGGUGAACUAUGCCUGGUCAGGACGAAGUCAGGGGAAACCCUGAUGGAGGUCCGUAGCGAUUCUGACGUGCAAAUCGAUCGUCGGAACUGGGUAUAGGGGCGAAAGACUAAUCGAACCAUCUAGUAGCUGGUUCCCUCCGAAGUUUCCCUCAGGAUAGCUGGCGCUCGCUUUUGCGAGUCUCAUCCGGUAAAGCGAAUGAUUAGAGGCAUUGGGGUCGAAACGGCCUCAACCUAUUCUCAAACUUUAAAUGGGUGAGAUCUCCGGCUUGCUUAAAGCAGUGAAGCCGCGAGAUCGGAUCAGAGUGCCAAGUGGGCCACUUUUGGUAAGCAGAACUGGCGCUGUGGGAUGAACCAAACGCGGAGUUAAAGCGCCUAAAUCGACGCUUAUGGGAUACCAUGAAAGGCGUUGGUAACUUAAGACAGCAGGACGGUGGCCAUGGAA
rnacentral:rRNA from 1 species